UUUAAUUCGAUGCAACGCGAAAAACCUUACCCACCUUUGACAUGGCAGGAAUCCUAAAGAGAUUUGGGAGUGCUCGAAAGAGAACCUGCACACAGGUGCUGCAUUGGCUGUCGUCAGCUCGUGUCGUGAGAUGUUGGGUUAAGUCCCGCAACGAGCGCAACCCUUGCCAUUAGUUGCUACGAAAGGGCACUCUAAUGGGACUGCCGGUGACAAACCGGAGGAAGGUGGGGAUGACGUCAAGUCCUCAUGGCCCUUAUAGGUGGGGCUACACACGUCAUACAAUGGCCGGUACAACGAGUUGCGAGUCGGUGACGGCGAGCUAAUCUCUUAAAGCCAAUCUCAGUUCGGAUUGUAGGCUGCAACUCGCCUACAUGAAGUCGGAAUCGCUAGUAAUCGCGGAUCAGCACGCCGCGGUGAAUACGUUCCCGGGUCUU
rnacentral:rRNA from 1 species